UGAGGUAGAGCUCAGUGGUAGAGUGAGUGCUUCACAUGCACAAGGUUCUGGGUACAAUCCCCAGUACCUCUA
rnacentral:tRNA from 1 species